AAUCCAUAGGUUAAUGAGGCGAACCGGGGGAACUGAAACAUCUAAGUACCCCGAGGAAAAGAAAUCAACCGAGAUUCCCCCAGUAGCGGCGAGCGAACGGGGAGGAGCCCAGAGCCUGAAUCAGCAUGUGUGUUAGUGGAAGCGUCUGGAAAGGCGCGCGAUACAGGGUGACAGCCCCGUACACAAAAGCGCAUGUGCUGUGAGCUCGAUGAGUAGGGCGGGACACGUGGUAUCCUGUCUGAAUAUGGGGGGACCAUCCUCCAAGGCUAAAUACUCCUGACUGACCGAUAGUGAACCAGUACCGUGAGGGAAAGGCGAAAAGAACCCCGGCGAGGGGAGUGAAAAAGAACCUGAAACCGUGUACGUACAAGCAGUGGGAGCACCCUUUGGGGUGUGACUGCGUACCUUUUGUAUAAUGGGUCAGCGA
rnacentral:rRNA from 1 species